GGUCUCAGUCGCCGCCUUACCUGCGCUCGUCUUCGCCGGCGGCAGAAGCAGACGAAACCUGCAUCUGGUCCCUCGGCUGGUAACCUCUGUCUAUU